rnacentral:lncRNA from 1 species
UCAUUCAUGCUGAAAAGCCUCUCUCACUUAGCCAUGAGCGGAGCUGUCAAAGCCGCUGAAAGUGAAGCACAAUUCACCGUAAACAAGGGGGCCUCGGAAACCAUAAACAGCAAAUUAGAGCUAAAUAUUGAUGUACUCCACAUUAACUCCAACCCCAGCUCCUAGCAAAUCCAGCCUCCGAACCCUCCGUACACAGGGGUUUAAUGCUUAUGUGCCUUUUUUUUCGGAAACACGAGACUGAAAGCGGGCGCAUUCUUAGAAUACAGAUUUUAUUUUUGUUUUAUUUUCUGGAUCACAUCGCAUUUCCUGUUUUCCUUGCGUUUUUCCUGGCUCGGGCCCGGCUGCGCUGCGCGUUGCCAUAGCAGCGCCGGGCCCUUUUGAGGAAGCCUGCCCCUUUAAGGAAGGCUCUGGAGGCCCGCGGGAGGCCGGAAGUGCUCCCCCGAGGCGCUCUGGUUUUCCCUUCGUCUCGGAUCUGCGCUGGGGGUCGCCUCCGGAGGAGCCACAGCCCUGCAGGCCUGAGUUGUGAGCAAAGGUCGCCGAGUCUGCGUGGGACGUCCGUGUCCCUCAGUAACAGGUGUGAGCAUCCAUGCAGCGUUUGGUGGUCAUGUAUGAUACUGCACACAGUGCGAGCCUGCCUUCGCCAGGGGGAGAGUCCCUGGAUGGCCUCUGGAUUCGUUUCUUUAACCUGUGCUGUAUUGGUUUAAAAAUCGAAUUGUAGAAAUAAAUGACGUUGCCCUUCCUUUACA